AAGGAGGCCGGUUCUCGCUUCAAACCCCCAUUCGUCUAAACCCCCCCUGUCAACUGGGUCUUUGUAGUCCAAUCGGCUUCUUCUUCUCUACCUGUUUUUUCACAGCAAUUCCCUCUUUGGGACCAUCCCUGUUUUCGUUAGGAAAAAGGGGCAGUGCUUGUUUCUUCAUUCAAUAAGGAAUGUUGCCCUUUCUCCUUUAGGAACAUUCCCUACACAAUGAUGAUGCUUUUAGAAUUUAGUAGUUUAUUUUCUUCUUUCCACCUAGAGAAAGAGAACUAUGGCUCUCUUUUUUGUGUUAAUUUUUUUUUCAUCGAAGGUCUUGCAUGCGGGAACGAGGUUACGUGAUGCAGCCAAGGAUGACUUGCCGGCGAAAUACUUGAAGGCAAAUACGCAUGGGUUUGUUGCGUAAUAAUCGACCGGCGAGCCAUUUUUGGCUACAUUUCUGCCUCGUUUUCUCAUGCUAGAUUUACGAUGAUAAUAACAUGGAUGGCGCUUGUAGUUUGAUGAAGCAAAAUUAAGCAGCCAACUGCGAGGUCAGGUAAUUAGGUCAAGAAAGUUACGCAUUGUAGACAUGACUGUUUGCGCGUCUUGAGCCCCAUAACGCUCGUGUUGCAAUGGAGCAACUUUCUAUCUAUUGGGGUUAACAACUUACGAUGUGGGAUACGUAUUUUAUACAUUUCACAUCCCGUAUUCUUUUUGUAUAGAUUAUCUACGAUACGGUGGCCUACGAUAUAUUCAUAUGUUCCGAAUCAGUACGCAUCCUACGAUUACUUAUUGUAAAGAAGAAAAACUCCAAACACAUUCUAAAUCGUUUGAUCUAAUUAUGGCAACGUUUAAACCAUUUUUAAAAUAAAAAAAAUCAAAACCCAAUCCAUUAGAGCUCAAAUAGAAGAAAGAACGAAUUUCGAUCAUGUGUUGCAUGUAUCACAUAAGGGCUCUUCUUCUAUUUCUAGACCAAGUCACCAGAAAACUUUAAUGUGAUAGACCCCACUUAAGAGACUAGAAAUUUUUUCUUUGUAACCAUUAAUUUCCAUAUAUAAAACACUUAUAUUUUUUAUAAAUAACAAUUUUUUUAUUGUAAUUACGUAUUACUAAUUUUUAAUAGUACAUUAGUUUUUGUAACGUAUCUUAUGAUACAUGGUUUAUAUCCCGAUACGAUAUCAUAAGCUGAAAAAAUGAUACACGAUACGUAUCUCGAUGUGUAAAACUCUGCUUCUAUGCAAUGCCAAGGCCUGCCAUUUCUUCUCCACAUGUGACUUUGGUAGGGUGCUCUCAAGUCCUUGACGUGUCUUUUUUUUUUGGUGAGCACUUAGUUCACUUUUUAUCACGGCAUAUGGAGGCCUGGUGGGCACGAAAAAUUCAGAGGUAUUUUGGAUAAUAUUGCACUCCUUUAAUGUUCUAUGUGUGGUCCUAAUUUAGAAAUCUUGGGAAUUUGUUGACAAAAUAACUUCAUUCAUACGAAUAUGUGUGACAUGGUAUAUACAGUAUGUUGGAAUUUGAUUCAGGUUUGGAUUGAUAUCAGACCAAAUGAAGAACAAAAAGUUGUCUUUGGCGCUACAAGAUCGAGGGGGUUGAUACUUGAUCCGUGUCGGGCUUCUCCUACCUGUACCCCUUAAACAUGUUGAUCCUGAAGUUUCAUCAUGGAAAACCUGCUUAAUUUUGACUGGAUAAUCGUGCCGUUUUAUGAAACCAUGUGCUAUGACUCGAAUUCGUAGUCAAUUCUAUUUUCGAUAGGAGCGGCCGACAACUCAAUUCGAUUUGCCUAUUUUUAUGUACGUAUCAAUUAAAGGGAAAUUUUUAUAAAUGGUCCCUCUAGUUUGCAUGAAUUUUCAUUUUCGUCCCUCUAGUAUCAAUUGUGUUACUUUUAGUCCUAUAAUUUGCAUUCUGUCUCAAUUUCUUCCCUCUCGCUUACGGCGUUUAUGAAACAAACGGAAUUGGAGGAUAAAAUUGUCAUUUCUCCUCACAGAGGGACUAAAUUGAGAUUUCAUGCAAACUAGAGGGACUAUUUCUAUAAUUUUGUUUUUUACUUUUGUUUUUGUAAAUAAAUUUAAAAUACAUCAUAUAUAAUAUAUUUCUCAUCUCAUUUUAUAUUGAAUAAUAAAAUAUAUGUUGAAAUUUUGUAAAGUUUUUAUUAUAUACAUCACAAAAAAUAUGAGAAAAUUCGAAAAACAACCUUUAUGUUAAUUGUCUUGGUCUUGUAUUUUUUUUUUCAAUUGAAUUUUCACUAUCAUUAUUUUUUUUUGUCACAUGAUUAAAAAGAAAAAGUUGUUCAGUAGUAUUUAGAAAUCUUGUAAUUGUGUUUAAUUAAGCAAUGAAACACUAUUAAAUAUUAAGAGAUCAAAUACAUUAAAAUAUGGAUAUAAGUGUAUUUAUUUUGGGAUUUACUCAUAAGAUCACUCAUAUAACAAAUAAACACGGAUUUUAAACAUUUUUUUUAUUGGGUGAAAAAAUAAGAAGAUUAUAAGAACAUGAUACAAAGACAUUAGCUAAGGGGUUGAUUUGU